rnacentral:lncRNA from 1 species
UCCUCUUUUACAGCAUCUCUGAAAGUGUUACAGUUCUGCAGUCAAGAACACAAACUCCCCGUGUGCCAGAGCCCAGGCUGCGGCUCCCAGGGAACCUGCUCUCCUUUGUCCUAGCCCAGGACGAUGCACUGGAUUUCCCCCUGCUGCGGGACUCCGCUUUGCACAGGAAGCGAUGGGCAGCUGCACCAGGAAGAGAGAUUGUUCGAAGCACAGUUUUGGAGCAUCCAGGGCUGGCUCCUGCUCCUGCUGAUGUCAGUUAGGGACUUUGACACUGAUGUCAGGCCCACGUUAUCAGUAAGUGCUUCCCUGCGGCUCACUCACCAAACCAGCUGCCCCCAGAGAACAGCUAUCGCCCCCCGGCACAGAAAGGCAAACAACAGACUCUCUAUGGCAACCAACAUGAAAGAAGGUUCUGAACUUCUGAAAUUGAGCGGCCUGUGAGUGUGACUGGAAUCACAUGUCCGUCUGCUGGGCAUCGUGCCUGCGUCCAGCUUCAGAGAGCCACAGCUGUCACAUUCACCAGGUUUGCUAGCGCUGGGUGAAUGUGAAAGUCGGCCCCUUUGAAAUUAGUCAACAUUUCUUUUGCUCCAGGUCUGCUCCUUGGUUUCCUGCCCUGGCUCUGAAGCCACCUUGGCCACACAAACAGGGACCUCCUCCCCAGGACCAGGGGCUCUGGCAACCUACUUUUGGCCCUUCAUACUGGCUUUCUUGUGGCCCAUGGGACCUCACACACAGUUCCCCAAAUCUGUGCAAUGCAACAGAGAAUCUUAACCACCCCUCUCCUCCAAAGGGUCAAUCAGAACCUCCCCCCGAGCCCACAGAAGAAAAGGAAAACAAGAUGGAUCCGCUGGUACCAACAGGGGUAUUAUCCUCAUCACCUGAUGAGGUGGUUGCACCAACUUCAUGGUCUCUCCUGGAUGAUCAUGGACAAUUUCAACAGCUAGUACAGAUAAUGGCGGAAGAGCUCCAAAUCUGCUGAGGAGAGGUCCAGGACUCUCAACAUAGGCUCCUGGAAAACCUACAGUCAGGUCACUCUUCUGGUAAAUGAAGCCAUACUAGAACCGGCAAAGGCUGUAUGGCAUAGGCCGGCUACCUGAGCCCCUACCCCCAAGUGGGCAGAAAAGUGGUACUUUGUCCCAGUUAUGAGACCAGAGUUCUUGUUCACCCAUCCUUCCCUGAACUCCUUGCUGAUCCAUGGGGUCAUGGAAAGAUUCAGACAACAGCAUCCAAGGACCAGCCCUGCAGAGAAGGAAGCCCAAUGUCUAGACCUUAUGGGGAAUAAAGUGUUUACAUCUACUAGCCUUCA